ACGGGUGAGUAACGCGUGGGUAACCUACCCUGUACACACGGAUAACAUACCGAAAGGUAUGCUAAUACGGGAUAAUAUAUUUGAGAGGCAUCUCUUAAAUAUCAAAGGUGAGCCAGUACAGGAUGGACCCGCGUCUGAUUAGUUAGUUGGUAAGGUAACGGCUUACCAAGGCGACGAUCAGUAGCCGACCUGAGAGGGUGAUCGGCCACAUUGGAACUGAGACACGGUCCAAACUCCUACGGGAGGCAGCAGUGGGGAAUAUUGCACAAUGGGCGAAAGCCUGAUGCAGCAACGCCGCGUGAGUGAUGAAGGCCUUCGGGUCGUAAAACUCUGUCCUCAAGGAAGAUAAUGACGGUACUUGAGGAGGAAGCCCCGGCUAACUACGUGCCAGCAGCCGCGGUAAUACGUAGGGGGCUAGCGUUAUCCGGAUUUACUGGGCGUAAAGGGUGCGUAGGCGGUCUUUCAAGUCAGGAGUGAAAGGCUACGGCUCAACCGUAGUAAGCUCUUGAAACUGGGAGACUUGAGUGCAGGAGAGGAGAGUGGAAUUCCUAGUGUAGCGGUGAAAUGCGUAGAUAUUAGGAGGAACACCAGUUGCGAAGGCGGCUCUCUGGACUGUAACUGACGCUGAGGCACGAAAGCGUGGGGAGCAAACAGGAUUAGAUACCCUGGUAGUCCACGCUGUAAACGAUGAGUACUAGGUGUCGGGGGUUACCCCCUUCGGUGCCGCAGCUAACG
rnacentral:rRNA from 1 species